CCAUGCAGAUUCUCUUCAUCUUUAAGAUGCUGUCAGUGAACUUCAGUCUGUUUAUGACUUUGUUUCUGCUCACAAUAAGAGGUAUCAGCUGUGAAGAACUCACUCCAGAUAACGAUGAAGAGUCCAGUUUAGAAGGCAGCACUGUUACUCUAUCCUACAAAUACUCCAAACAAGCAACUGGUGGUGAUUAUUUCUUCUGGUAUCGACAAUUUCCAGGAAAACCACCUGAGUUCCUCAUCUCUCAUUCAGGAACAGGAACAUUAUUAAAGAAUCUAAUCCCGAGACUGCAGAUUAAAGUGAAGCAAAACCAAAUCAGUCUGCAGAUCUCCUCUGCUGCAGUGGCUGACUCUGCUGUGUACUACUGUGCUCUGCGGCCCACAGUGACAGGAAACACCAAGACUCUGUACAAAAACCUUUGGAGCAAAGACAACAGAAUACUCCACAACGUCCACUAGAGGGAGUCACACACUGUUAACCUUCAGUGGUUUACGAUGAUACAGUCUGGAUUCUUUGCACUGAUGACAGAAAAAUGAAGCCUAAAUAAUAAAACAAAAAUGAAGGAGUGUUUUUAUCCCUUGUUGUCAGCAGUUUCAUGUGGGAACAAUGGAGAGAAAAUA